UACGUAGGGCGCAAGCGUUGUCCGGAAUUAUUGGGCGUAAAGAGCUCGUAGGUGGCUUGUCGCGUCUGCCGUGAAAGCCCAUGGCUUAACUAUGGGUCUGCGGUGGAUACGGGCAGGCUAGAGGCUGGUAGGGGCAAGCGGAAUUCCUGGUGUAGCGGUGAAAUGCGCAGAUAUCAGGAGGAACACCGGUGGCGAAGGCGGCUUGCUGGGCCAGUUCUGACGCUGAGGAGCGAAAGCUAGGGGAGCAAACAGG
rnacentral:rRNA from 1 species